GAAGUGUUGAAUGGUGUCACCAAUCAAACACUAUAUUAUCUUUUCUAUUGAUAAAUUAUAUUAUGAGUGAAGAUACUCAUUAAAAUAGAAAGACAAAAAGACCCCAUGAAGCUUUACUCUAUAAUCAUUAUUGAUUGAUUUAUUGAUAAUUUUGGGGAGUUUAGGUGGGGUGCCUUCUUAUUAUUAAAAACAUAAGAUAUAAUAAAAAAAAAUAUAAAAUAAAAACUUGAGAAAAUAAAAUUUUAAAAGAUAAAAUAUUAUUAUGAGUGACCAGGUGAAAGAACCUAAAAAUGAUAAA
rnacentral:rRNA from 1 species